UACGUAGGGUGCGAGCGUUAAUCGGAAUUACUGGGCGUAAAGCGUGCGCAGGCGGCUUUGCAAGACAGAUGUGAAAUCCCCGGGCUCAACCUGGGAACUGCAUUUGUGACUGCAAGGCUAGAGUACGGCAGAGGGGGAUGGAAUUCCGCGUGUAGCAGUGAAAUGCGUAGAUAUGCGGAGGAACACCAAUGGCGAAGGCAAUCCCCUGGGCCUGUACUGACGCUCAUGCACGAAAGCGUAGGGAGCAAACAGG
rnacentral:rRNA from 1 species